AUUGAACGCUGGCGGCAGGCUUAACACAUGCAAGUCGAACGAUGACUCUCUAGCUUGCUAGAGAAGAUUAGUGGCGGACGGGUGAGUAACAUUUAGGAAUCUGCCUAGUAGUGGGGGAUAGCUCGGGGAAGCUCGAAUUAAUACCGCAUACGACCUACGGGUGAAAGGGGGCGCAAGCUCUUGCUAUUAGAUGAGCCUAAAUCAGAUUAGCUAGUUGGUGGGGUAAAGGCCCACCAAGGCGACGAUCUGUAACUGGUCUGAGAGGAUGAUCAGUCACACCGGAACUGAGACACGGUCCGGACUCCUACGGGAGGCAGCAGUGGGGAAUAUUGGACAAUGGGGGCAACCCUGAUCCAGCCAUGCCGCGUGUGUGAAGAAGGCCUUUUGGUUGUAAAGCACUUUAAGCAGGGAGGAGAGACUAAUGGUUAAUACCCAUUAGAUUAGACGUUACCUGCAGAAUAAGCACCGGCUAACUCUGUGCCAGCAGCCGCGGUAAUACAGAGGGUGCGAGCGUUAAUCGGAAUUACUGGGCGUAAAGCGAGUGUAGGUGGCUCAUUAAGUCACAUGUGAAAUCCCCGGGCUUAACCUGGGAACUGCAUGUGAUACUGGUGGUGCUAGAAUAUGUGAGAGGGAAGUAGAAUUCCAGGUGUAGCGGUGAAAUGCGUAGAGAUCUGGAGGAAUACCGAUGGCGAAGGCAGCUUCCUGGCAUAAUAUUGACACUGAGAUUCGAAAGCGUGGGUAGCAAACAGGAUUAGAUACCCUGGUAGUCCACGCCGUAAACGAUGUCUACUAGCCGUUGUGGUCCUUGAGACUUUAGUGGCGCAGUUAACGCGAUAAGUAGACCGCCUGGGGAGUACGGCCGCAAGGUUAAAACUCAAAUGAAUUGACGGGGGCCCGCACAAGCGGUGGAGCAUGUGGUUUAAUUCGAUGCAACGCGAAGAACCUUACCUGGUCUUGACAUAGUGAGAAUCCUGUAGAGAUGCGGGAGUGCCUUCGGGAAUUCACAUACAGGUGCUGCAUGGCUGUCGUCAGCUCGUGUCGUGAGAUGUUGGGUUAAGUCCCGCAACGAGCGCAACCCUUUUCCUUAUUUGCCAGCGGGUUAAGCCGGGAACUUUAAGGAUACUGCCAGUGACAAACUGGAGGAAGGCGGGGACGACGUCAAGUCAUCAUGGCCCUUACGACCAGGGCUACACACGUGCUACAAUGGUAGGUACAGAGGGUUGCUACACAGCGAUGUGAUGCUAAUCUCAAAAAGCCUAUCGUAGUCCGGAUUGGAGUCUGCAACUCGACUCCAUGAAGUCGGAAUCGCUAGUAAUCGCAGAUCAGAAUGCUGCGGUGAAUACGUUCCCGGGCCU
rnacentral:rRNA from 1 species